rnacentral:lncRNA from 1 species
AUGGUCAAAAUUGCCGGAGGAGACAGUGUUAGGUUCGAGAUUGGAGACAGAUCAGCAGACCUGGACUUGGCCAGUUGGAUCCAUGGAAGAGAACCAAAGUCAUCCAGCAUUUCCAAAGAAUGUCAGCCCAGAGAGAGGAGUAAGCAGAUGUCUAUACAGCACCAACCACAGCACAACAUGGAGGCCAGACACCAGAAAAAACAGCAGAUGAACAAACAAGGCAAAACCACUGACUUAGGGACAGGUCUAAUGCACUAUCCACACAAAUGAACUUUUACUGAGAGGCAGUUUACCUACAGAAGAAUAUCAUUAAUUUGCUUACAGAUAUUCUAUUCCAAAAGUAUAUGGGUAUUUGUUGUAGGAUCAAUACUUAUCAUGUACCUGAAUAUUUCAAAUGGUAUUUGUACAAUAUGUAACUUGCAAUUAUUUUAUUGGAAUUGUUCCAUUUUACCCAAAUUUGAUCAAAUAACUAAUGGUACAAUUGGAAAAUGUAUAACAGUACAUUGGAUACUGUUCAAUUGCAGCAGAAAUUGUUUAUAUUAUCCAAAAUGUAUGUAUAAUAAUUGUCUUAAAUGGUUCAUUUUAUAUUUGCAAAAAAGGAUGUCUUUAUUAGAAUCAGACUGAUUUAAAAACCAAUUUAACUGGAAUUGCAUUUUAGCUUUUAAAUGGAAAAAAGGGAUGUAAUGGUACUCCUAACCAUCAAUCACUUCUCCAUCCCAGAAGGGCUAUAGGUUACUCCUUUGCAAUAACAUUUUGAAUGUAAUGAUAAAGAUUACACUGUAUAGUAGCCCUGGAUUUGGUUGACUAUUACCAGGAGAUUAAGACCCUAGGGAACCCAACAGGAUGAUAACUUUGGGUCAAGGGUUUGCUUGUAUUUCUACAGAUAGUGGAAACAUCUGGACACCCACAAAGCACAUCAUGCCCUGUGACACGAGACCAGGAAGAGAAGCAGACGAACAACACUGAUGACAUCAGUUAGCUGCACACCAGCCACACUCCACUCAUGCUGGAUGAAACCAUCACUGGUGACUACAUACACACACCAAAGACUGACAUUACUCUUAUUUUAAUUAUAUUUACUAUUAUUCCCCUGAUGGACAGUUGUCAUGCUGAAAUCUAUUGGUCUAUUAUACCUAAACCCCAAUAUUAAGAAUGUAAACUUGU